rnacentral:rRNA from 1 species
UGGGGGAUAUUGCACAAUGGGCGAAAGCCUGAUGCAGCGACGCCGCGUGGGGGAUGAAGGCUUUCGGGUUGUAAACCUCUUUCGCUAUCGAACAAGGCUCGCCUAGGGAGGUUCGAGGGUAGGUGUAGAAGAAGUGCCGGCUAACUACGUUCCAGCAGCCGCGGUAAUACGUAUGGUGCGAGCGUUGCCCGGGAUAUUUGGGCGUAAAGGGCUUGUAGGGUGCUUGUUGCGCCUGCUUGGAACACGGGGGGCUUAACCUGGCGCGUGCUGUGGGUACGGGCAGGCUUGAGUGUGGGAGGGGUGACUGGAAUUCCAGGUGUAGCGGUGGAAUGCGCAGAUAUCUGGAGGAACACCGAUGGCGAAGGCAGGUCACUGGGCCAUUACUGACGCUGAGGAGCGAAAGCGUGGGUAGCGAACAGG